rnacentral:tRNA from 2 species
GGGCGCAUAGCUCAGUCGGUAGAGCAGCUGACUCUUAAUCAGCGGGUCCACGGUUCGAGUCCGUGUGCGCCCACCA